UAAACUUAUCCGUUAAAUUCUGUAGCUGC
rnacentral:sRNA from 1 species